CUGAGCUCAACUCCUGAUGCAUGGAGAAAAGGCCUUCACACGCCUCUGCUAUUGUGUACAUAGUUUAUACUACAAUUCCCAUCAAGCCAAGUCACCAGAGAUCACCCAGCUCGUCAUGCUAGAGCACUUUUUCAAUAUGCUCCCCAACGAGAAGGCAACUUUCGAUUCCAUUGACUGCGCCUACCAUGGUGACCACGGGUAACGGGGAAUCAGGGUUCGAUUCCGUACAGGGACCCUGGCAAACAGCUACCACAUGCAAGCAAGUCAGCAGGCGCGCAAAUGACCCACUCCCGACGCGGGAAGGUAGUGAUG